rnacentral:rRNA from 1 species
GAUGAACGCUGGCGGCGUGCCUAAUACAUGCAAGUCGAGCGAACAGAUGAGGAGCUUGCUCCUCUGACGUUAGCGGCGGACGGGUGAUUAACACGUGGAUAACCUACCUAUAAGACUGGGAUAACUUCGGGAAACCUGAUCUAAUACCGGAUAAUAUAUUGAACCGCAUGGUUCAAUAGUGAAAGACGGUUUUGCUGUCCCUUAUAGAUGGAUCCGCGCCGCAUUAGCUAGUUGGUAAGGUAACGGCUUACCAAGGCGACGAUGCGUAGCCGACCUGAGAGGGUGAUCGGCCACACUGGAACUGAGACACGGUCCAGACUCCUACGGGAGGCAGCAGUAGGGAAUCUUCCGCAAUGGGCGAAAGCCUGACGGAGCAACGCCGCGUGAGUGAUGAAGGUCUUCGGAUCGUAAAACUCUGUUAUUAGGGAAGAACAAAUGUGUAAGUAACUAUGCACGUCUUGACGGUACCGAAUCAGAAAGCCACGGCUAACUACGUG